CUAAGCCCCCAGUCCUAGAUGGACCCUCCCAAUAGUCAGCAGACAUGACAACAUCUCCGCAGCUCAUCAGACAAGUCCUGUCUGAGUUCUGCUCUGUGUCCGGCUGCUCCAUGACUCCUGCGUAUCCACAGGACCUGCAUAUCCACAGGGUGUUCAGGGGUGUAAAUAAAGAUGCAGAGAUGGAGGCUCAGCAGAAAGGAGGGAGCUUCCUUUGUUUUCCAAUGACCAAACUCAGAAUCUUCAAGCGUUCCAAGAGAGGACAAAAGAAGAACUGCUAGUCAGUCCAGGACCAGAUUUCCUCUGCAGAUGGACAUUGCCACGCCCCUCACAUUGAGCCUCAUGGUGCUGAGCCUUCAGUUCGAGACAUUUCUCAGCUGGAGGAGAAGCCCAAAAAAUACUCUCUCAUCGUCAGGGUCUUCUCAGCCAUGACCAAAGGCCUGAGGAACCCAUUCAAACACACCUCCAACAAGACAAAGACAGAAUGAUUUGACUAGCAAGAGAGUUAUUUGACAAGAGGGAUCAACAUACUGUUGAACUCUACCCUUUCAAAGUAAAUUUCAUGAAAUAAAUGCAAAUUGUUUUACAGCA